rnacentral:lncRNA from 1 species
CGUCGUCGUCGUCGUCGUCGUCGUCGUCGUCGUCGUCGUCGUCGUCGUCGUCGUCGUCGUCGUCGUCGUCGUCGUCGUCGUCGUCGUCGUCGUCGUCGUCGUCGUCGUCGUCGUCGUCGUCGUCGUCGUCGUCGUCGUCGUCGUCGUCGUCGUCGUCGUCGUCGUCGUCGUCGUCGUCGUCGUCGUCGUCGUCGUCGUCGUCGUCGUCGUCGUCGUCGUCGUCGUCGUCGUCGUCGUCGUCGUCGUCGUCGUCGUCGUCGUCGUCGUCGUCGUCGUCGUCGUCGUCGUCGUCGUCGUCGUCGUCGUCGUCGUCGUCGUCGUCGUCGUCGUCGUCGUCGUCGUCGUCGUCGUCGUCGUCGUCGUCGUCGUCGUCGUCGUCGUCGUCGUCGUC